AUGGCGGCGAGAAGGCUCCUCGAGGAGGCGGCGGCGGCCGGCGUGCCGCAGGACUCGCUCAACUCGGACCUGGUCCUCAUCCUCGCCGGCCUGCUCUGCGCGCUGGUCUGCGUACUCGGCCUCGGCCUCGUGGCGCGGUGCGCGUGCUCCCGCCGCUGGGCCCGCGCCGCGGACGCCGCCCCGCCCGGCGCCAACAGGGGCGUCAAGAAGGAGGUGCUGCGCGCGCUGCCCACCGUCAGGUACGCCGCCGACGGCGGCGAGGCGUCGGAGGCGGACGAGUGCGCCAUCUGCCUCGCCGAGUUCGAGGACGGCCAGCACAUGCGGGUGCUGCCGCAGUGCAGCCACGCGUUCCACGCGGCCUGCGUCGACGCCUGGCUGCGCUCGCACUCCUCCUGCCCGUCCUGCCGGCGGGUGCUCGUCGCCGAGCUGCCGCGCGGCGAGCGGAGCGGCCGCUGCGGCGCGCGGCCCGGCGGCCUCGACGCGCUCCUCAAGGCGGUGCCGCUGUGCCGCUGA
rnacentral:rRNA from 1 species